GGUAGAUUCUUGUGACACCUCAUGCACCCUAGGGGAUGCACCGAUGGAUUGUGCCUCCUUUGUAGCCAGUUCCAUGUAGACAGCAAUAUCAAUGGCCUUCUGUAAGGGAGACAAGGGGCU